CAAGUUCACCCUGGCACAGGGUCUAGUUCCCUUAUAUUAUGGAAGCAGCAUUCCGAGAUCUCCCUGUGAUUAAUAUUACUGCUUGGAACACCAAUUUUGUAUCUCAAGGACUUUCAGUGCAUUGGUUGGAUAUGCUAUUCCAGAUUGACAUGGUUCGUGAUGGGAUGUAAUUUGGACCGGUUUCAAGAGCAUGACACAGUGCAUGGAGAGCAGCCAUCAGAUGAAUCUGGAACAAAGAAACAGAAAGUCACGACUUGAUGAGGUUAAGACUGUGCGAGGUUUCUAUGCGGAAAGAUAUAGUUGGUCUGAACAAUGCAAGCGUGGUUUGUUAAACUUGUUGAUGGUAUGAACUACUUUUAGAUUCUACUAGCUUGUUAAUUUAAAUGUUAAAUUUGAAGAGGUGCAGCCAAAAGCAAAAUGCAUUAUUCUGGAGUUCUGUUCUGAUCUUGUGGAAAAGUAUAAAAUUUUCUUCAAAGUUGGAUCAAUGUUGUUGUGCACAUGUAGUCUAGUGCAGUGCUUGUAAGGCUGGGGAUGGGAAGAUUUUUUGUGAAAUUUGACAAGGAGCAGUGACCAAGCUCACCAGGAUCAUGAUAAAAUUAUAAUUGUGAUGGACUGUGAUUACAGAGUUGAUAGGUUUGAUUUGUAAGUGGAACUCGUAAACAUU